GGAGAGGUCGCAUAGUCCGGUCUAGUGCGCGCGCCUGGAGAGCGCGUAUGCCGAAAGGCAUCGAGGGUUCGAAUCCCUCCCUCUCCGCCA
rnacentral:tRNA from 1 species